CAUGCAAGUCGAGCGAACAGACAAGGAGCUUGCUCCUUUGACGUUAGCGGCGGACGGGUGAGUAACACGUGGGUAACCUACCUAUAAGACUGGGAUAACUUCGGGAAACCGGAGCUAAUACCGGAUAAUAUUUCGAACCGCAUGGUUCGAUAGUGAAAGAUGGUUUUGCUAUCACUUAUAGAUGGACCCGCGCCGUAUUAGCUAGUUGGUAAGGUAACGGCUUACCAAGGCGACGAUACGUAGCCGACCUGAGAGGGUGAUCGGCCACACUGGAACUGAGACACGGUCCAGACUCCUACGGGAGGCAGCAGUAGGGAAUCUUCCGCAAUGGGCGAAAGCCUGACGGAGCAACGCCGCGUGAGUGAUGAAGGUCUUCGGAUCGUAAAACUCUGUUAUUAGGGAAGAACAUACGUGUAAGUAACUAUGCACGUCUUGACGGUACCUAAUCAGAAAGCCACGGCUAA
rnacentral:rRNA from 1 species